rnacentral:rRNA from 1 species
UACAGAGGUCUCAAGCGUUGUUCGGAUUCAUUGGGCGUAAAGGGUGCGUAGGUGGCGCGGUAAGUCGGGUGUGAAAUCUCGGAGCUUAACUCCGAAAUUGCAUUCGAUACUGCCGUGCUUGAGGACUGGAGAGGAGACUGGAAUUCGAUGGUGUAGCAGUGAAAUGCGUAGAGAUCAUGAGGAAGACCAGUGGCGAAGGCGGGUCUCUGGACAGUUCCUGACACUGAGGCACGAAGGCCAGGGGAGCAAACGGG